CCUUCAGCGGGACGUUUAUUUCCGCCCCGGGGACUUCUGGGACUUGUAGUGUCGCCUAGGAGCCUCGGAGGGCGGAGCAGGGCGGCGAUGGAGAACCCUCAGCCCUAGCCUGGAGCUGGCUGCCGGAGAUGCCGCCGCAUAGCCGGGAAGAUCUGCGGGGGUGGAGAUUUGAGUCUGACGAGCGGAGGAAUGCCUGGGCUCUAACUGCGGCCAGGCUUAGUGGGGCAGGAGAGAGAGGCAAAGAUACUCAACCAGCUUUAGCAUUUACUGUGGAUAAACAAGAGAAGGUUCGAGAGGAUUUAGGUCCCCUUGCAGAGCCUCUCUGGGAAUGAAGAGUUAUGGCAGCAGAUUCCACAAGACCCACAUCCUGCUUGUGACCAUGUGGAUGUAAAGGACCUUAUAAAGAUGAACAUUAAGGGAAGCCACAAGAUGAUCAGAUAAGGACCCAGACUAUUGAUGAUUCUAAACUAAGAUGAGUGGUAAUGACGAUUGUAUUUCCCUGGACUUCCUGCUGGCCGAUAUAGGCGAUACAUGGGCAAUUUCUAAUAUUUCAUGCUACAAUUGAUCAAUUAAUAAGUAGCAACCCAUUUUUGCCUUAGAAAGUAAUGUGGCUCUCCCAGGUUGAUCUUGAUAGAAGCUGGGACAUAUUUAGCUGACUUGGCUCCAGAUUGGAAGUUGUAGUUGUGGUCACUAUGUUGCUUAGGACAACAGAACAUAUUUGGUCCAAGCCCUUACCUGUAAAAUUAAUUAGAGUAGCCCACAGGGUAGCCCACAAUCCUGAGAAUGCUUAGCUGGAUACUGAAAGGUCAGAGGGUCGAGUUGUAGGGAACAGCCCCACCAUGGCAACUUGGCCACCUUGCAUGUACCCAUGCAGGCAAAGGCUUGAAAUAUAGCUUAUUUGAGUCUCGGCAGAAUGUCUUAUGAUUCUCCCCAAACAUGAGAGAAUGGGAGACCAUUAAGGAGAGAGAUAAGACUAUCUCCCAUUUGCCUCUAUAUGUCAGACCUUGGGAGACUGUUUUGCGAGUUUCUCAUCACCAUCCAGGUUCUGGUGAAGUAUGGGGCUUUCUACCCAAUGUCCACCUCUCAGGAUAGAGCUGAAACAAAACAAAACAAAAGUUAUUAUAAAAAACAUUGAAAAAAAAUAUUGAACUACUUAGCUGUAGUCUAGGACUGACUCCUCAGCAAUCCGGGAUACCCCAUUUCAGUCACCUGGCCCCUUUAGCUUAAUCAAGGUGUUAGCUGGUCUGAGUUCUCAUUUAGUGGAUCUGGAAAAAAUCUACU